AUUGAACGCUGGCGGCAGGCCUAACACAUGCAAGUCGAGCGGAUGACGGGAGCUUGCUCCUUGAUUCAGCGGCGGACGGGUGAGUAAUGCCUAGGAAUCUGCCUGGUAGUGGGGGACAACGUUUCGAAAGGAACGCUAAUACCGCAUACGUCCUACGGGAGAAAGCAGGGGACCUUCGGGCCUUGCGCUAUCAGAUGAGCCUAGGUCGGAUUAGCUAGUAGGUGAGGUAAUGGCUCACCUAGGCGACGAUCCGUAACUGGUCUGAGAGGAUGAUCAGACACACUGGAACUGAGACACGGUCGAGACUCCUACGGGAGGCAGCAGUGGGGAAUAUUGGACAAUGGGCGAAAGCCUGAUCCAGCCAUGCGGCGUGUGUGAAGAAGGUCUUCGGAUUGUAAAGCACUUUAAGUUGGGAGGAAGGGUUGUACGUUAAUACCGUGCAAUUUUGACGUUACCGACAGAAUAAGCACCGGCUAACUCUGUGCCAGCCGCCGCCGUAACAC
rnacentral:rRNA from 1 species